ensembl:lncRNA
UUCCAUACCAUUUGGUGGCCAGUUAUUGCAAUUUGCCACAUUUUGAAUACAUGGUCAGUCUUUUCCUUUCCAAGACUCCCCAGCGGAUGCUUGCUCAGCCACUCGUGCUUUCCUUUCAUACUCCCUAGCAAGAAGAAGGGAGCAGAUUGCUGCAUGAGGCAUGUGGCAGUGCCUGGCAGGCUGCAGGGGGACGGGGAGCCACAUGCACUCCCUCUGCUUCUUGCAGUUUCUACUGGGAAACGCUUUGCUGGAUGCAAAAGACACAGAUCCCUGCCAAACAGAUUUGACUUUCAGAGGGAAGAAGAGCUUUCAGAUGAGGAUAUGAGGGAAGUUUUAGUUACAACUACCUUCCCUCCUGAACUCAACCAGUUCUGGUUCUUCACAUUGUCUACUCCAGUUUUGGUUGCUUUAGGCUUGUAACAGGAUAGACUUUUAAAACAUUUCCUCCUUACUAGACUGCUGGAUUUGGCAUUUAUUCAGAGGGCAAGGGCCCACCCAAUCAGCCUGCAGGGACUUGCCCAAUGAAAACACCUCUCUACUGCAAGCCUGCAACCUCUUGCAAGUGAGCACACAGCUGAGGAAGCAGGGGGAGAAAGGAAUUCCUCUAGACCCUCCCUUUUGCAGCUCUUCAUUAAAUUACAUCUGUGUGCUCAUUUUCUGCAGACUUUUUUAUUUCAUGCAGCAUAGGUGGGAUGGCUGUGAGUCAACAUACAUUCUUUUUUAUUAUUAUAUUUUGUUUACUAAUAGACAAAAUAAUUUCUCUGUGUUCCUCAUCAUAGGUAGAUGCUCUGAAAAGUGUGGAUGAGAAUCUCAGGCAGGAGCUGCUUUACUGCCACGUUCUUCCAGGGCAGAGAGGGGCUGAGGAGAAGGUACAAAUUAGGCUCCACACUAGGUAGGUAGGUAGAUAGAUAGAUAGAUAGAUGGGGAUAUUUUUCCAGCUACCCAUAUGAAUGUCUCCCCUGAGUUUGGGUCACAGAGGCUCUAGCGAUGCUGGUGUACGUGCAUUGAACCACUGCUAAAACUUUGCCUGGACAGCAGUGGGGACCAUGGAAAGAAAUUAGUCCUUCUUCACAUAGCUUUUCUUGCAUUUCUUUCACUGUCCUUAGAAUGGGGUGAGUUCUGCAGCUCAGUAACAGCUCAGUCAGGCUCCUCCUCCUGUUUUAACUUUUUUUGUGUGUGUGUGUACAGCCCACUGACUACGUGGACACUGUGUGGAGCAGAGCCAGGGCAAGGGGCAGAGAACAGUGCCUCAGCAUCAGAACCUCUCUCCCUUUUCACAAAGCUAUCAGCUCUGGCAAUUCAUCCCACAGCUCAGUAUUUACCAGGGGAAGAGAGAGAAUUUAAGGAAUAAAGCUUCAAAUGAACAUUUGUUGCAGAAGAGCUGCUGUGAUUUUCCACAUCUUCAUCCUCAAAUAUUUUCAGCUUGGCUGUGUGGCAGGAACGUUUUCUUAGCACUGUUUCGUAUCUCUGCCUUAACCCCUAAUCCCUUAGUAUCUGUGGGAAACUCUGUGCUGAUAAGCCCUGUUGAUUAAUAGACGCAUAGUUUGAUACUCUCCAAUUUACCCUGGCUAUGAGAUGCGUUGAGAGUCAACCUGGCCCUUAAUCAUAAAAAUACUUAAACUACUGUAAUUUUUUUGUUGCAGAGGUUGCGUUGUACUACAAACACUUGUGGUUGUUAUUGUCUGUUCUUUUGGCUUGGGUUCAUCACCCCAAAAUAUAUGUGCUGCAUGCUGAAGUGUAAUGUACACAAGAAGCUCAGAGCACUUGAAAACUAUUUGGAGGAGCAGAGUAAGAGUGGGAGUUGACUGGGUAUGACUAUGGGGCAGGGAUCCAUGACUAUGCCAAGAGUUUGCUGGUGUAGUGUAGAAGCAUCAUGGAGCCCUCUGAACUGCUGAGAAUUUGUUAGAAUGGGGUUAGUACCUUUAGGAGGUUUAAUGGAUGCUUAAGGGAUUUAAGAAGGUGCCAAGAAGGAAGAACAGGGUAAUGAUUUGGCAAGUAUCACAGGGAGUACUGAUAAUGUGCUAUAAGAUGCAGGGGCCUUUUGGCACAUCUCUGGGAUUACGAUCAGGCUCUGGGAAAAAAGAAAAGGUUAC